UUCAAUUGCAGGCGCAGUCAUGGAGCUGCGGGCUGUACACGUGAGGUAACCGAAUUAACGUUUAAGCGGUCUUGUAAGGCCGUCGGCUUCACGGGGCCAUCCGGAUAGGGUGGCCUUUUACUGUAA
rnacentral:sRNA from 24 species